GGAGAGAUGUCCGAGUGGUUUAAGGUGACGGUCUCGAAAACCGUUGUACGGGGAUACCCGUACCGAGGGUUCGAAUCCCUCUCUCUCCG
rnacentral:tRNA from 1 species